rnacentral:rRNA from 1 species
UCAAGCGUGAGGUAAGGGCAAUUCGUGGAUGCCUUGGCGCAUACAGGCGAUGAAGGACGUGGCACGCUGCGAUAAGCUGCGGUGAGGUGUGAGCAACCUUUGACCCGCAGAUUUCCGAAUGGGGAAACCCACCUAUCCCGUUUAACUUGCAUGUUCGGGUAACUGAGCAGGCAAGCUAAAUGGGGCUAGGUAUCACUUAGCUGAAUACAUAGGCUUCGUGAAGCGAACCCGGCGAACUGAAACAUCUCAGUAGCUGGAGGAAAAGACAUCAACCGAGAUUCCGUUAGUAGUGGCGAGCGAACGCGGACCAGGCCAGUGCCGACAAGUGAAUUAGCAGAACGAUUUGGAAAGAUCGGCCAUAGCGGGUGACAGCCCCGUAUGCGAAAGUGAAAUUGUCGGACUUGAGUAGGGCGGGACACGUGUAAUCCUGUCUGAACAUAGGGGGACCACCCUCUAAGCCUAAAUACUCGUAUGCGACCGAUAGUGAACUAGUACCGUGAGGGAAAGGUGAAAAGCACCCCGAUGAGGGGAGUGAAACAGUACCUGAAACGGAUUGCCUACAAGCAGUUGGAGGGUCCUUGAGGCCUGACAGCGUACCUCUUGCAUAAUGGGUCUGUGACUUAAUGUAUCAAGCAAGCUUAAGCCGUUAGGUGUAGGCGCAGCGAAAGCGAGUCUGAAUAGGGCGCCAGAGUUUGAUGUAUUAGACCCGAAACCCGGCGAUCUAGGCAUGACCAGGAUGAAGGUGCGGUAACACGCACUGGAGGUCCGAACCGAUUAACGUUGAAAAGUUACCGGAUGAGUUGUGUUUAGGGGUGAAAGGCCAAUCAAGCCGGGAAAUAGCUGGUUCUCCGCGAAAACUAUUGAGGUAGUGCCUCGAGCGAAUACCGUAGGGGGUAGAGCACUGGAUGGAUGCGGGGGUCGCGAGACCUACCAACUCUAACCAAACUCCGAAUACCUACGAGUACUACUCGGGAGACAGACGGCGGGUGCUAAGGUCCGUCGUCAAAAGGGAAACAGCCCUGACCUACAGCUAAGGUCCCCAAGUCAUCACUAAGUGGGAAAGCAUGUGGAACUUCCAAAACAACCAGGAGGUUGGCUUAGAAGCAGCCAUCCUUUAAAGAAAGCGUAACAGCUCACUGGUCUAAAUAAGAGGUUCUGCGGCGAAGAUGUAACGGGGCUAAAGUGAUGCACCGAAGCUUAGGGUGUGGCGCAAGCCACGCGGUAGCGGAGCGUUCCGUAAGCCUGUGAAGCGAUCUGGUAAUGGGUCGUGGAGGUAUCGGAAGUGCGAAUGCAGACAUGAGUAGCGAUAAAAAGGGUGAGAUGCCCUUUCGCCGAAAGACCAAGGGUUCCUGCGCAAGGCUAAUCCGCGCAGGGUGAGCCGGCCCCUAAGACGAGCCCGAAGGGGGUAGUCGAUGGGAACCACGUUAAUAUUCGUGGGCCUGGUGGUGUGUGACGGAUCUCGUGUGUUGUUCUCCCUUAUUGGAUUGGGAGGGCUUCGAAGAGGUUCCAGGAAAUAGCCCCACCGUAUAGACCGUACCCGAAACCGACACAGGUGGUCAGGUAGAGUAUACCAAGGCGCUUGAGAGAAGUGUCCUGAAGGAACUCGGCAAAUUGCCUCCGUACCUUCGGAAGAAGGAGGCCCUCAUUGUGCGCAAGCAUUUUGAGGGGGCACAGGCCAGGGGGUAGCGACUGUUUAGCAAAAACACAGGGCUCUGCUAAGUCGGCUUCAAGACGACGUAUAGGGCCUGACGCCUGCCCGGUGCCUGAAGGUUAAGUGGAGGGGUGCAAGCUCCGAAAUGAAGCCCAGGUAAACGGCGGCCGUAACUAUAACGGUCCUAAGGUAGCGAAAUUCCUUGUCGGG